UGGGGAAUAUUGGACAAUGGGCGAAAGCCUGAUCCAGCCAUGCCGCGUGUGUGAAGAAGGUCUUCGGAUUGUAAAGCACUUUAAGUUGGGAGGAAGGGCAGUAAGCGAAUACCUUGCUGUUUUGACGUUACCGACAGAAUAAGCACCGCCUAACUCUGUGCCAGCAGCCGCGGUAAUACAGAGGGUGCAAGCGUUAAUCGGAAUUACUGGGCGUAAAGCGCGCGUAGGUGGUUCGUUAAGUUGAAUGUGAAAGCCCCGGGCUCAACCUGGGAACUGCAUCCAAAACUGGCGGGCUAGAGUAGGGCAGAGGGUGGUGGAAUUUCCUGUGUAGCGGUGAAAUGCGUAGAUAUAGGAAGGAACACCAGUGGCGAAGGCGACCACCUGGGCUCAUACUGACACUGAGGUGCGAAAGCGUGGGGAGCAAACAAG
rnacentral:rRNA from 1 species